ACUGCACCAUCAACUCCUUCAUCUCCACUGGCGCCAUACGAUACGGUGCCCUGGAAACUGGUGCCGCUCCUGGCACAAUGUCUAUCACAAACUCUGUCUCCCUAUCCGGCGGAAGACCCGGCAAUUCACUCGGAAAUACAUCGGCGAAUUCUCUCACUAUAGGUAUUUGUUCCAUGGUUGCUACCACUCUCUGGGUAUCAACAACAUGACACAGAUAACCUACACAUCCCUUCCUCAAUAAUUUCCUAGUUUGUGUCAUGGUUAGACAAC
rnacentral:lncRNA from 1 species